GACGAACGCUGGCGGCGUGCUUAACACAUGCAAGUCGAACGGAAAGGCCCUGCUUUUGUGGGGUGCUCGAGUGGCGAACGGGUGAGUAACACGUGAGUAACCUGCCCUUGACUUUGGGAUAACUUCAGGAAACUGGGGCUAAUACCGGAUAGGAGCUCCUGCUGCAUGGUGGGGGUUGGAAAGUUUCGGCGGUUGGGGAUGGACUCGCGGCUUAUCAGCUUGUUGGUGGGGUAGUGGCUUACCAAGGCUUUGACGGGUAGCCGGACUGCGAGGGUUACCGGCCAAAAUGGGACUGAGAGACGGCCCAGAAUCCUAAGGGAGGGAGAAGUGGGGAAUAAUGCAAAAAGGGCGGAAGCCUGAUGGAGCAACGCCGCGGGCGGGAUGAAGGCCUUCGGGGUGUAAAACGCUUUCGCCUGGGAAGAAGCGGGAGUGACGGUAAUGGGUAAAGAAGAACCGGCUAACUACGUG
rnacentral:rRNA from 1 species